rnacentral:sRNA from 1 species
CCUCAGGGUUUUCCGGAGCUGAAGAAUGACACAUUCCUGCGAGCAGCCUGGGGAGAGGAAACAGACUACACUCCCGUUUGGUGCAUGCGCCAGGCAGGCCGUUACUUACCAGAGUUUAGGGAAACCCGGGCUGCCCAGGACUUUUUCAGCACGUGUCGCUCUCCUGAGGCCUGCUGUGAACUGACUCUGCAGGUGAGGGGUCCACAAAAGAGGGAAAGAUUUAUGCCUUCAGUCUGCCACCUAGCAACCUGUCUCCUGUUUCCUACAGCCACUGCGUCGAUUCCCUCUGGAUGCUGCCAUCAUUUUCUCCGACAUCCUUGUUGUACCCCAGGCACUGGGCAUGGAGGUGACCAUGGUACCUGGCAAAGGACCCAGCUUCCCAGAGCCAUUAAGAGAAGAGCAGGACCUAGAACGCCUACGGGAUCCAGAAGUGGUAGCCUCUGAGCUAGGCUAUGUGUUCCAAGCCAUCACCCUUACCCGACAACGACUGGCUGGACGUGUGCCGCUGAUUGGCUUUGCUGGUGCCCCAGUAAUGUGGGACAGGGCAGGGACUCGGGGCGCGGGGAGAUCACUCUGGAAGGUCUGGGGUAGACAAAAGGAAGGGUCAGUCUGGCUUCUGUGACACCAUCUUUCUAUCCUUCUCUAGUGGACCCUGAUGACAUACAUGGUUGAGGGUGGUGGCUCAAGCACCAUGGCUCAGGCCAAGCGCUGGCUCUAUCAGAGACCUCAGGCUAGUCACCAGCUGCUUCGCAUCCUCACCGAUGCUCUGGUCCCAUAUCUGGUAGGACAAGUGGCGGCUGGUGCCCAGGUGAGUCCUGAGAGAGAGAGAAAUAGGCUGGGAUUUGGUCUGUAAGGACCAGAAGCAAGAGUGUCCUA